rnacentral:rRNA from 1 species
UACGGAGGGUGCAAGCGUUGUCCGGAAUCACUGGGCGUAAAGGGCGCGUAGGCGGCCUGGUAAGUAGGGGGUGAAAUCCUGCGGCUUAACCGCAGGGCUGCCUUCUAAACUGUCAGGCUUGAGCACGGUAGAGGCAGAUGGAAUUCCCGGUGUAGCGGUGGAAUGCGUAGAGAUCGGGAAGAACAUCAGUGGCGAAGGCGGCUUGCUGGGCCGUUGCUGACGCUGAGGCGCGACAGCGUGGGGAGCAAACAGG